rnacentral:lncRNA from 1 species
AAGUUACAGUGAGCUAUGACCAUGCCACUGGCAUGCCAGCUUGGGCAACAGAGCAAGACCCUGUCUCUAAAAAUUAACCAAGUAAAAGAUCAUGCGGGUAGCAGUGGGUGUGGUGAGAAGUAUCAGGCAAUUGAAGCACAGAGUGGUAAUCUAAGAUAGGAGAACACAGGUGGAACAGGUUUUGGUGAGAAGGAGGAGCACAGGUGGAACAGCUUUUGGGGAGACAAUCAGCAGUUUUAUUUGGGAUAUGUGAAGUUUUUGGUGUCUGGUAGACCUCCUGGUGGAGAAGCUGUGUAGCAGGGGCCCAUAUAAGCCUGGAGUUCAGGAGAAAGCCUGGGCUGGAGGUACACGUUGGGGAGUUGCUGACAGGCACAGCUAAAGAAAUGUGUUACUGACAAGCCUGCAGGCCACAUGGCGAGAUGGAAAGCAAGCAGUAAAGACCAAAGAAACUCGUUGAGGACAAUGGAAGAUGGGCUCAGAAGAAAAUGGAUACAGCUGAAGCUAGAUGGGUCAUGGGUGAAAGCAGGACAGGACCUCAUUCUCCAACAGAUACCAA